UACGUAGGGCGCAAGCGUUGUCCGGAAUUAUUGGGCGUAAAGAGCUCGUAGGCGGCUUGUCACGUCGGGUGUGAAAGCCCGGGGCUUAACCCCGGGUCUGCAUUCGAUACGGGCUAGCUAGAGUGUGGUAGGGGAGAUCGGAAUUCCUGGUGUAGCGGUGAAAUGCGCAGAUAUCAGGAGGAACACCGGUGGCGAAGGCGGAUCUCUGGGCCAUUACUGACACUGAGAAGCGAAAGCAUGGGGAGCGAACAGG
rnacentral:rRNA from 1 species